rnacentral:tRNA from 1 species
GGUUUCGUAGCUCAGCUGGAUAGAGCAACAGCCUUCUAAGCUGUGGGCCGCGGGUUCGAAUCCCGCCGAAAUCA